rnacentral:tRNA from 1 species
GGAAGCACGACCUGGUCUGGUGACGGGCCCAGUCUUCAAAACUGGUGGCGACGGUGCCUUUCGCACCGCGCGGGAGGUUCGAUUCCUCUGUGCUUCCG